UGGAGAAGAGAUGUGCAGGGCGUGUUUGAGGCAGAGGGAGGAACUUACUCAGCAACCAGAGCCGGUGGCUGUUCCAGCUGUGCUGCAGAGAGGGCUCGCUUUGCCUUGAAGUGGGACCUACUGUUUGCUGAUCACAGGCCGACUAGGAGACAGCCCUAACCAGCAGAAUCUGGGUUUGCUCGUUAGCCGAGGCACCACCAUGUCCAGGAACACGGGCCUGGGCUUGUCCUGGUCAAGCUGGAAGUUGCUAUUGCUCCCACCUUGUCUCACUUAUAACCACCAAGCUGAAUAAACAGGCUCCGGUGCCUAGUAUCCACAGCUCUGGCUGUGAAAAGUGGGGUGUCCCUUCUGUUCCAUCCAUCAGAAACUCCCAGCAAGUCAGAUUUCUUCCUUCUCCCCAUUCAAAAUCUUCUAUGAAGUCCACUGAUGCCAACCUAUGUGGGUAAAACUGCUCCUACUCCAUCCUUUACCUCCCACCGCCACCCUUACAUAACCCCCAGCACCUUGCCUAAAAAUGGAGCCAUUCUAUUAGGGAAGAGACAUUCUCCAUCUGGGCUUUGAUAAGUGUCUCCGCCUGAUUUACUCUCGUUUUGCCUCAGUGGUUCCCUUGAUCUUCCAAGGACAACUCUUUAGAAAGGCUUUGUGUUUCUCCCGGUCGUUCAUCUAUUUCCUGAUAUGUUCCAACUCAGGAGAGAUUGAUAACCUCCUGUUACUGAAUAAAGCAAUUCAGGCAAAAUUGGGCCUUUCCGAUAAUAAAGAACGAACAGUUGAAAACAGGACCUUCCUGUUUAUCGCUUGGGCUUUUCUGUUAUUUGGUUACAAAAAAGCUUUGAAAACCUGGAGUUAAAAGUAUACACGUCAAACAAAAGGGCUAACAAGCCACGCUUCGAGAAUGAGAAAUCAUUCGGACAAGAAUGGCUGCUGCGCCCAGCUGCUCUUCUGGUGAACACAUCCACGUGAACAAAACGGAGACCACCUCUUUGCCUGCAUCAGUGAGACAGCAUCACUUUUACGGCUAAAUCUGCUGGGCUUUGCUUUGCUUUUGGCUCAUUGAACAGGGAAUGCUUGUAGUAAAAAUAAAGCCUGUGCGUCAUUCGUUGAACAAGUCGUCGUGUCAAGCCUUUAUACGCUAGUCCUGCAUCGCAUUUCAUGACUUAACACAGGGACACGCCACUGACUUGCAUUCUGCUGCCCCCAGCAGACGCUCCCUGCUCAUAAAAGUCGGUAGUUCAACAGCUGUUGCAGGUCAGAGGACUGAACAAAGCAACAGGGAUAUUAUUUUCCAGAACGAUUUAUGAUUAAUAUAUGCACUUCAGAGGGGUGCAUAUUUGAUAUUGUUUGCAGGGACGGGGAAUGCCGUUAUAUGGGAUCCAAGUGGGAUUUCAGCAAAGACCGGGCAACGCUAGAACCUGUCUCAUAUAUGAACAAAUGCCCUAUCUGCGCAUUGGCAACACAAAAUUACCUGCGAGGGGAAAUGCCAUGCAGUGGGACUGGUCGAACCAAGGGGACUGCUUAGACAGAGAUUCAAAAGGGGAAGACGUGAUGUCACUGACGAUGCACCCGCUUUCUGAAUUCACAAAGAAAAUAGAAACUGUUCAUAGGCGGAUAAGAAGGAAAAGGUUAACUGUCACAGCACAGCAGGCUGUGAAAAAAGGAUUGGUUGCUUCAUGGGAGAACAGGAACAUCCAGCAUUUGAGCAAGAAUAUAAAGUAAAACAUGUGGAAGGGGUAUGAACUCUCACGUUUCACGACAUAAGCCAACUUUGAACUGAUUGGGGCCAAGAACAAUUUCCUUGGAGGCAGGUUAUUUCACUGGGAACUACUGUAUCAUCUUCUGAAGACACUGGCAUUGGCACCCCGUGAAGACACGAUAAGAGAGCAGCUGGGCGAGGAGUCCAAUCCAGUUGGUAACACAUUUCCAAAGCACUUGAACUAACAAAAGGAGUUGAGAAACAAAGUCCAAGGUGAAACGGAUCCUCUUAGGCAGAAAAGAAUGCAUGUUUAUUGGCAGUAAAAACCAUGAUUGGGAAAAAAAAUGUAUCAAGAAAACUACAUUUUAUUUUUGUUGUGGAAUUUACUUUGAUGUACUGUAACUUAAAAAGAUCUGGAAAAACCACAUGCAAAAGGGUUUCUAAGUAGCAGCUAAAGUUUCUAUUCCAGCAUUAACAAGCUACUCCAAAUGACUUCCAAAUUCCCCGCUAUAAACUAUUCCAUAAACAACCCUUUUAUCUUUUAGAUCCCCUCUCCCCGCCCCUCCUAUCCCAGUUAGUGCAAAGG